UCCCUGGUGGUCCAGUGGUUAAGACUCCAGGCUUUCACUGCUGAGGGCAUGGGUUCAAUCCCUGUUCUGGGAA
rnacentral:tRNA from 1 species